rnacentral:rRNA from 1 species
ACUCCUACGGGAGGCAGCAGUAGGGAAUCUUCCACAAUGGGCGCAAGCCUGAUGGAGCAACACCGCGUGAGUGAAGAAGGGUUUCGGCUCGUAAAGCUCUGUUGUUAAAGAAGAACACGUAUGAGAGUAACUGUUCAUACGUUGACGGUAUUUAACCAGAAAGUCACGGCUAACUACGUGCCAGCAGCCGCGGUAAUACGUAGGUGGCAAGCGUUAUCCGGAUUUAUUGGGCGUAAAGAGAGUGCAGGCGGUUUUCUAAGUCUGAUGUGGAAGCCUUCGGCUUAACCGGAGAAGUGCAUCGGAAACUGGAUAACUUGAGUGCAGAAGAGGGUAGUGGAACUCCAUGUGUAGCGGUGGAAUGCGUAGAUAUAUGGAAGAACACCAGUGGCGAAGGCGGCUACCUGGUCUGCAACUGACGCUGAGACUCGAAAGCAUGGGUAGCGAACAGGAUUAGAUACCCUGGUAGGAUAGCG